GGAUAGCUCAGGUGGUACAGCAUGAGACUCUUAUUCUUAGGGUUGUGGGUUCAAGCCCCUUGUUGGGCCA